GCAUAUCAAUAAGCGGAGGAAAAGAAACCAACAGGGAUUGCCUUAGUAACGGCGAAGUGAAGCGGCAACAGCUCAAAUUUGAAAGCUGGCCCUUUCAGGGUCCGCAUUGUAAUUUGUAGAGGAUGAUUCGGCGAGGGCUCCCGCCUAAGUCCCCUGGAACGGGGCGUCAUAGAGGGUGAGAAUCCCGUAUGCGGUGGGCUGCCUUAGCCAUGUGAAUCUCCUUCGACGAGUCGAGUUGUUUGGGAAUGCAGCUCUAAAUGGGAGGUAAAUUUCUUCUAAAGCUAAAUACCGGCCAGAGACCGAUAGCGCACAAGUAGAGUGAUCGAAAGAUGAAAAGCACUUUGGAAAGAGAGUUAAAAAGUACGUGAAAUUGUUGAAAGGGAAGCGCUUGCAACCAGACUUGUCCGCAGUUGCUCAGCCGGUCUCCUGACCGGCGUACUCUUCUGCGGCCAGGCCAGCAUCAGUUCGGGCGGUCGGAUAAAGACCUCGGGAAUGUAGCUCCUCUCGGGGAGUGUUAUAGCCCGGGGUGGAAUGCGGCCAGCCUGGACUGAGGAUCUCGCUUCGGCAAGGAUGCUGGCGUAAUGGUUGUAAGCGGCCCGUCUUGAAACACGGACCAAGGAGUCUAACAUCUAUGCGAGUGUUUGGGUGUCAAACCCAUACGCGUAAUGAAAGUGAACGGAGGUGGGAACCCGCAAGGGUGCACCAUCGGCCGAUCCUGAUGUCUUCGGAUGGAUUUGAGCAAGAGCAUAGCUGUUGGGACCCGAAAGAUGGUGAACUAUGCCUGAAUAGGGUGAAGCCAGAGGAAACUCUGGUGGAGGCUCGCAGCGGUUUCUGACGUGCAAAUCGAUCGUCAAAUUUGGGUAUAGGGGCGAAAGACUAAUCGAACCAUCUAGUAGCUGGUCUGCG
rnacentral:rRNA from 1 species